rnacentral:rRNA from 1 species
GACGAACGCUGGCGGCGUGCUUAACACAUGCAAGUCGAACGGAAAGGCCCUGCUUUUGUGGGGUGCUCGAGUGGCGAACGGGUGAGUAACACGUGAGUAACCUGCCCUUGACUUUGGGAUAACUUCAGGAAACUGGGGCUAAUACCGGAUAGGAGCUCCUGCUGCAUGGUGGGGGUUGGAAAGUUUCGGCGGUUGGGGAUGGACUCGCGGCUUAUCAGCUUGUUGGUGGGGUAGUGGCUUACCAAGGCUUUGACGGGUAGCCGGCCUGAGAGGGUGACCGGCCACAUUGGGACUGAGAUACGGCCCAGACUCCUACGGGAGGCAGCAGUGGGGAGUAUUGCACAAUGGGCGGAAGCCUGAUGCAGCAACGCCGCGUGCGGGAUGACGGCCUUCGGGUUGUAAACCGCUUUCGCCUGUGACGAAGCGUGAGUGACGGUAAUGGGUAAAGAAGCACCGGCUAACUACGUA